UAUUUGUUUUGACUGAUUAACAUUUUGCAGUUCAAAUCUUAAGAUCAACUCAGCUUUGCCUUCCCUCAUUCUGGAGUUGAUCAAAUUAAGUACCUGGCAAUUACUAGUGAUGACAGAAUGAACUGUUUGCUCCUCCAUCAAAU